rnacentral:lncRNA from 1 species
AUGUUAGAACUGCUCCAAAUUGAAGGCAGAGAACUGAGCGGCUUCAACCUGGGGAGCCGUGGUUUUGCUGCCACCUGCAGGCCUGUUCCGGGAAGCGCACAGCGACUCACCAAAGCCUCAUUGGAGAGUCAGAGGCAAGAGGGGAAAACGGAGCAACUGCAUUCAUGCAGACUCCCAGCCUCCAGUAAAGUUGGUACCAAACGCCUUUGGAGUUCCCUGGCAGUGACUCACACGUGCUCAUGACAAAUCCGGUCCACAGUCCUACAGCUGCCGUGUGUCAACCUCAAUUUCCACCUUCACCUCUUGUCCCCCUUGGCUGGAUGUUGCAUCCAUUGGGCAUCCUGUUUCUGCUGGGCACCACAGUCUCCUCCCUCAGUCGAGGAUGAUGGGAGGCACCCAAGCUGACGAUGUUCUGUUACAGAGUGGGCAAAGCUGGUCAUCUUCGGGUAAGUUCCCCCAAAAGUAGAGCCUGAAGCAAGGACUCGGGUACAGGUAAUUUAUUUAGGAGGUGCUCCAGAAAUUUAGAGUGAAAGAAUGAGGGAGCGAGACAGGAAAAGAAGAGAAGAAAGUUUAAAGAUGUGUUAUCCAGGUCCCAUUUCACGGCUGCAAUUGCUUACGGGCCAAGAAGGCUUCUACAGAAUAAGAGAAAGCCCCAAGGCAGACAUCAGACACGUGACGAGGUGAGUCUGAGUUCACCAGAGCCAUCCACCAAAGGUAGGCAGUAGGAAGAUGACAUGGGCACCAAAGGCAUCUGCCACACACUCUCGCUCCCUUUUUAUGUUUUUUAUGUUACCAUCUGUGGAAGGAGCCCCAAAGCAGUGACACUUAGGCCCCAAUGUUGUUUCCAGAGAAUCACUCUUUUCAGUUUUUCUUCAUAGCUUCCAACACACGCCAACCCCUAAAUAUUCAUUGAAUUCAGACAUGAUUCGAAUGUAGAGAACAUCACACCACCCCCUUCUUGUGAGCCAAAGCCACAGGCACCUGAGGCGUAGAGACAUGGGGGCAUGUCGGUGCACUGGCACGUCUGGAGGAGCUUCCUGAAGGCAAGGUCAGAGGGAAACCCUUGUUGGAAUAAGAGUCUCCUACAGACUCCUCCAGCCCCGACAAUUUUCCUGAUGUGCCCUCAUAUGUCUGAACACCUGUGCUAGCGGCUUUAUCACAUCUCCAAGCCAGAUUUCUGCCCUGAGCCCCAUAAAUCAAACUGCCUACUGGAUGCCUCUACCGGGAUGUCUCCCAAGCAGCUCAAACACAACACAAAUAAACCUGAACUCAAUAUCCGCCCUCUGGACCCC